CUCUCAAUGUUCUUCCGGGGUCAUUUGGGCUGGCUGUGUGACAAUUUAAGGGCUGUGGGUCACUGUUUUUACCCCUAGUUUUGGUUCUCUUUAUUGGAAAUCAGUUGAGAAAAUCUUUUAAAGAUAUUUUGGUCGAUCUCACCAUGUCUGAGAAUAAAUCUAGGGGUAAAAUCUGUUUUUCUUCUCUCAUAAUUUAUUGCUUUGGUUGAUUCAUUUUCAUCAUUUAUCCUAGUUAACUCACCCUCUCAAUCUCUUAUUCACUGUAUCACUGUUUUUCUUUAUGUGGUGUUCAGAUCAGAGUCUCUCCUGAUUAUUUUUACAUGCUGAAAUUGCAGUAUUUCCCUCUUGGUUUUUACCUCUGAGUCAUUUUAACAAGUUUCUCUUUUUUCAUUUAACAUUCAUGCACCAGAUGCUUGGCUGUAUAAUAAUUUAAUUUGAUCAGGUAGAAGUAUAGUGCAUGCUGCUCUGCUCUGAGUGUUUUUUCUCACAUAGCCACCCAAAUCCUGACCUGAAGAACAGCUUUUAUAGAUCUCUGGAAAUUGGGACACUGUCAUAACCAAUGAAUCCUGUCUUUAUCCCGCAAAAAAAGAAAAAAAACUCUCUAAAUUUAUCUCCCUGCUUGCUAAGUGUUCUUCUUAUUUAAGGUAUCUUUCAGUUGGCAAGAAAAUGAAUUUCUGUCUUUCAGAUUGGCUUCAGUUUGUUUACUAAAAGGAGUCUGGAUGUGAAAUUGGAUCUGGGAACAACAGGGAAUUGGAAGUAAUCAAAUAGAUAAACUAUUCACAGCUUUCAGGGGCUGCAGGAGAUGAUUCAGGCUAAUCCCCUCAGAUAAUCCUAACUCCUCCAUCAGUAAAUGGUUAUUUUGCUGAUGGCAAUUGAUCAUUUACUCUACCACCUAAUAAAGAAGUUCCUGUAAAAAGUCCCAAGUAAAACUACAAAACAGAAUACUGUUUGUGAAGUCCAUAUUUAUAUUUAGCAUUGAAAUUGAUCAGCAAUGUAUUUACAUGUAAAACAGACAUGAUUUGUAAAACAAUCUCUCUUUAUCUCAUGUUUUUGGAAAUCAAAACCAAGACAAUCUACUUUAAGUAGGUCAUAAUUUAAUCAGUCGUGUGAUUGAGCAAACAAACAUUUGAGAAAUAACCAAGGCUCAUAGAGACGUUGAGUUGCUAAGAGAGUAAAAAAAAGAAAGGAACUAAUUCCUCUUUUUCUUAACACUGUCCCUCUCACAUCUUCAAAAGCAGUAGUCAUUUUGGCAGUGGUCAGGAUUAGCUGUUAAUUAGCCUCAUUUUAAGGAUGAGACUUAGAAGGCUGAAUGAGAUGUGAGCUCACUCCGUUGUCCUGCUGAAUGGUGGGAGGAUUAUUCGAGCUGUGUCGUAAUCCUGUUAUUGUAAAGCAAGGCCACUCUCUGGACUCCUCCUGUCCCUUCUCUGGUUUUCUUCUCACUUUGCUUCCUUGCUUCUCCUUUUUCCUCCUACAUAACUGUCUGCAUCUUACUGCCACUCUUCUAUGUAUGCUGUGUUAUUCUCAGGGCCACACAGAAUCAUAUUUUUUUUAAUUUUUUUUAAUUAAACUCCGAAUGUUAACACAUCUCCAGCACAAGCAGAAAAACAGUCUAUUCCUGAUCACCCUGACAACUGUAAAAUAAUCCGCAAAUCCCAUUCUGUAGAUUAUUGAUGAUGUUACCUUACAGGCUGAAAGCAGAACCACUGCGAUACAGUUAAGCUCUGUAAAAGAACUGACUUCUGUUGUUUUGAUAAGUGGGCAAGUGGCACACUGCCUCCUUUAGGAUAAAAAAAUAACUGGCUCUAGUGUCUAGGCUACGUUCACUGUCUAGCAGAGGAGAAUGUGAAGGCAGGCUUGCAGUGGGUUGUUUUAUGCUCACCUUGAGCCACCGUCCAAAAUAGCUCAAGCAAAGGCCCCACCAGCAGCCAGCCCAAAUGAUGUUCCUCCAAGAGGUUCUCUGAGUUGGAAUGCUUUAUAUAGCGCUUUUAUUUCGCUGGGGAUCAAAUCGCCAACCCUGUAUUCAAAAUGCCGAAAAGGAAAUCAAUUAUGAGAACCCACUAAUUCAAGCCUACUGUUCAACCCAACACACUGCUAAGGAGGCAGAGUGACAAAACAUUGAUCCUUAGAACUUGAAAUAAUGUAUCUUGAGUAGUGUGUAUAGAUUUCAUGUUAGAUACCUGAACAGAAGAUGGUCCCCUAGUCACAUCUAUCUCCUCCAUAUCACCCAGAUUUUAGCACAAGAUUGACAGUUUAAAGAUUGACAGUGGAUGUCACUGAGGAGGCUGUAUUUAUAUUGUCACUGGUACAGUUAGUGUAUACUGUAUCGAUGGGCCUCUGCCAAGCUGGCUCUGCUUACUCUGAUUACUGGAACUUUCCUCUUGGCACAGACCCAUAUGUUUAUAAUUGCAAUUACACUCAGACCUCAGAGUGACUGAGGUUUUAUUUGCAGCCAGCAAGAGGCUGAGGACAUUCAAUAAAAAAUAUGAAAUAGAUUUUACUUGCUUUUAUAGGCCACAAACCCACGUGCUAUUACUUAACAUGACUGGCAGACUAUAGAUCCAGUCAAGCUCUGCAGUUGGUGCUGUUUAUAAUGUUAGAAAUUAAUUUGUUGUAGAUUCUGUGGUGUGAAGAGGACUUUGCAAGAGAAGAGUGCUCAUGAAAUGCAUUGCAGCUUGAAUUUUACAUAAAAAAA